rnacentral:tRNA from 1 species
GUGCCCUUAGCUCAGUUGGAUAGAGCGUCAGGUUGCGGACCUGAAGGUCAGAGGUUCGAGUCCUCUAGGGCAUA